UACGUAGGGGGCAAGCGUUGUCCGGAAUCAUUGGGCGUAAAGAGCGUGUAGGCGGCUCGAUAAGUCUGCUGUGAAAGUCCAGGGCUCAACCCUGGAAGGCCGGUGGAAACUGUCGGGCUAGAGUCCGGAAGAGGCGAGUGGAAUUCCCGGUGUAGCGGUGAAAUGCGCAGAUAUCAGGAAGAACACCUAUGGCGAAGGCAGCACUCUGGGACGGUACUGACGCUGAGACGCGAAAGCGUGGGGAGCAAACAGG
rnacentral:rRNA from 1 species